rnacentral:rRNA from 1 species
CUACGGGACGCUGCAGUGAGGAAUAUUGCACAAUGGGGGGAACCCUGAUGCAGCAACGCCGCGUGGAGGAUGACGCAUUUCGGUGUGUAAACUCCUUUUAUAUGUCAAGAAAAUGACGGUAGCAUAUGAAUAAGCACCGGCUAACUCCGUGCCAGCAGCCGCGGUAAUACGGAGGGUGCAAGCGUGUACUCGGAAUCACUGGGCGUAAAGGACGCGUAGGCGGGUUGGACAGUCAGGUGUGAAAUCCUACAGCUUAACUGGAGAACUGCACUUGAAACUUCUAAUCUAGAGUAUGGGAGGGGGAGAUGGAAUUAGUGGUGUAGGGGUAAAAUCCGUAGAUAUCACUAGGAAUACCUAAAGCGAAGGCGAUCUCCUGGAACAUUACUGACGCUAAGGCGUGAAAGCGUGGGGAGCAAACAGGAUUAGAUACCCGUGUAGUC